AGAGCACUUGUCGCCACAGAAAUCGCACGCGACUCCGAGCAGCCGCCCUCCGCCACAACUUGACCAUGGGCGCGCCCUAGCCCCGCCCUUCUUAUCCCCGCCCGGCCCCACCUAUGGCUACUGCUGCUGCUGACGCCGCCGCGCUGCUCCUCCCAUGGCUCUCCUCGCGCUACGCCUCGGGCCUCUCAUCCCAGCCCCGCGCCGCCGCUGGAGCCGGAGCCGUUGCCGGAUCGUCGCCUCCAAUGCCGCCGCCCCCGUGACGUGCGCGCGGAGCGGGGGCGCGGCCGCGGUGGUGUGGUUCAAGCACGAUCUUCGCGUCGACGACCACCCGGGCCUCGCCGCCGCCGCCGCGGAGCCGCGGCGCCCCGUCGUGCCGCUCUACGUCUUCGAUCGCCGCAUCCUCGCUGGCUAUUCAGACAAAAAGCUGGAACUUCUGCUUUUUGCUUUGAAAGAUCUUAAGAUGGCUUUGAAAUCUCAAGAGUCUGAUCUGCUCAUAGGCUUGGGAAAUGCUGAAGAUAUUGUUCUGAAGCUUGUGAAUGAGGUACAAGCAGGUCUUAUUUUUACAGAAGUGGAGGUUGAAUACAGAGUGCACAGUGUUUUGGCCAAUGUUGAAUCAUCUUUGUCCAAUGGAUCAUUCUCAUGGGGAAACCCUCCCAAGAUAGUGUCUUGGAGUACUCCGUUGUAUGACUAUAAGAGUUUGACAGAAGUACCGACGUCACACAACCAAUUUUUGAAGGCAAAAUUACCAAUGAGCGCACCUCUUUCUGCCCCAACUUUGCCUGCUCUAAAUGUGGAUUUAGAUGCAGGUUCUCUACCCACAUUGGAAGAACUAAAAGGGUUCCUGAAAGACAGUAGAAUGCAAGAGGAUAGUUGGAUUCCUCUCAAGAGCAUGUCUGCAAAAUCUAUUCUAAAAAAGACUUUCGAUCAAAGAAAGAUCAAAAGUAGUUCUACAUCAACGAUCAGCAAUGGAGGAAGCAUUGAGGAUACCACCAUGGAUUCUGGUACAUCAGGGAGGAGGAUUAUGAAUUCAAUGUUUGCAUCAGAAAGCUCACUUGAAGUUAGAGGUGGAACUGAAAUUACUUUGGAUGCUUUAGCUGCUUACCUAAAAUACCUGGAAGGCACAGGAAAAGCUAGUUGGCAAGAGUUGCAUGAUAAAGUGCGCUUAGCUGAAACCAGGGAUGGUGCCUCGUUCUACAGCUUGUUUGGUACUGCAAUUCAGCUUGGAGUCAUAUCCAGGAGGAGAGUUUACCAUGAAGCUAUUCAAUACGAGAAAGAUCGAAACGCCGGUUUUUUAUCACCAUUUGGGUACUCAACACCUACAGUUACAGCUGCAGUAGAUGCUAUCUAUUCCAUGGAGUGGUACUGGCUUUUGUCAUUGAAAUCCCAAGUAUGCAUUGAGGAAAAUUAUCCUAUAAGAAUCUGGAGAUGGAAGGGUUAUCAUGUACAGUAUACCUUUUUUGGCCAUGAAGGUCCUGCUGUCCUUCUUGUGCAUGGCUUUGGAGCUUUCCUGGAGCACUUUCGUGACAAUAUAGGCAAUAUUGCUGAUGCGGGCCACCGAGUUUGGGCAAUCACCCUUGUUGGCUUUGGAAAAUCAGAGAAACCAAAUGUCAACUAUUCAGAACUUUUCUGGUCAGAAUUACUGAGGGACUUCAUUAGUGAUGUCGUGAGGGAGCCUGUUCAUCUUGUUGGCAACUCUAUUGGAGGUUAUAUUGGUGCUAUUACUGCUGGCUUAUGGCCUUCUGUUGCAAAGUCUCUGGUUCUUUUAAACUCAGCUGGUUCAAUUGUUCCAAAUUACCCGUUCAUCCCAUUAAGUGAAGAAAGACGAACAUCAUGGCUUUCCAGGUUGUCCGCACAGCUUCUUUUGCUCUUCUUGAGGACAAGGGUAGAAGGCGUUCUUAAGGAAUACUAUCCUACAAGAACUGAACGGGUAGACAAGUCACUUGUGGACCAGAUUAUAAGAGCUUCAUAUGAUCCUGGGGCAGCAACAGUUAUUGAGAGCAUAUUCAACUUCAAUCUUUCGAUUCCUCUUAAUUUUUUAUUUGAUUCUUUUGGAGGAAGAAUCUUAGUUAUCCAGGGGAUGAAAGACCCCCUUACAAAAUCCGAAGCGUUUGUUACCAUGUUCCGAGAGCAUUGCAGCAAGGUCCAUAUUCGAGAGUUAGAUGCAGGUCAUGCUCCACACGAUGAAGUUCCAGAUGAAGUAAAUUCCCUACUGUGUGAAUGGAUGAAAGAGCUUGAAGUUAAGCCGACCUUGGAGAAGUCCAAGGCAAUUUAGUGAACGAAGGACCGGAGGGUGACGCGGGCGUGAUCAAGGGCGAUCCGGAUGUUGUUUCCCUUGCUUGUGAUCAAGCUGAGCACCAAGUUUGCAGGCGAGGAAAGGUUAGCUUCUGGCUACUUUAUGUUUGCCGGUGCCGGUGGCGGGCAAGAGUAGUGUCGUCUACUCGUGUAACUAGGUUUGGGUGGAGCCUAAGGGUAUAUGGUUCCACCGGUCUUUUUAUUGUUGUUAAGUUUUAAUUCUUUCGCUGUGUAGUUUAUUCCUUUUGUUGUAAAAUGUGUAAAUGGUUGAAUGCUUAAGAACUUGUAAUAUGAUGUUAAUUACCCGCUCUUUCUUAAGCUUUGUUGUAAUGUA